UACGUAGGGGGCAAGCGUUGUCCGGAUUUAUUGGGCGUAAAGAGCGUGUAGGCGGCCAGGUAGGUCCGUUGUGAAAACUCGAGGCUCAACCUCGAGACGUCGGCGGAAACCAUCUGGCUAGAGUCCGGAAGAGGCGAGUGGAAUUCCUGGUGUAGCGGUGAAAUGCGCAGAUAUCAGGAGGAACACCUAUGGCGAAGGCAGCUCGCUGGGACGGUACUGACGCUGAGACGCGAAAGCGUGGGGAGCGAACAGG
rnacentral:rRNA from 1 species